GAAUGCGACGUCCAAGUGUUCCUCCCUGGUAAGCAGAUCUGGGCAGUUUUCUUUUGCCUAAAAAGGAGUUUAGCACCUGACUUCUCGAGCAUGAGACCCCAUAAAAGGUGUGGGUUGAUAUGGACUGCAGGACGAGGGCCAUGGAAGUCGGUCCCGGUUACAGAGUGCAUAACAACUCACCUGUUGAAUCUUUUAGCCCUGAAAAUUUUCGGAAUUUAAGCGAGAGACCUAUAUUCCGCGAAAAUCACACGUGCGUUCAAUGGAAACAGGGCGGUUCCAUUAGGAAACUCUUUUGCAAAAAAUGGUCGUGGCCGCCGCGCGAG
rnacentral:ncRNA from 1 species